rnacentral:lncRNA from 1 species
CCAGUGUCGUAUCCUUUCUUUCAAAUUAAACACAGAAUAUAGUGCGUGUGUCAUUUAUUACUUUGUAGCAUGUUUAAGAGAUCACUUUUGGGUGGUGCUUUAGAUGAAAUGGUUGACCAGUUUAGAAUACCCUUGAUCUGAACAUGGAAGUAAAAUGUCAAUAUAACACUUCCAUGAUCUGUACAUAGUAUGCGGUAGUUGCAUUGUCCACUUGUAAUAUUGUAAAGUAAGAUGUUUGAUAACCUCCCGCGGAGUACAUGUAUGAUAGGAGAUAAACAACUUGUAAAUAGUCGAUCGAUACAAUAUUGAUACUUUUUGCUAGAAUAUUUUUCUCUAAGAACCGCAUCUCAUAUUUGUGCAAUGAUUAAUGUGAGUUUGGUUUAUUUCGUUCUCUACUAUGCAUAAUUAAGACUGUUUGGUGUCGAGACAUAGCGAGUUUAUUUCAUAAAGAGUUGUUUAUUACGCCAAUAUUUUUAUAAAGAAAAUUUCAGUUAACAAUUCUCGUAUUGGUGCUUUUGGCAAAGACCCCCCCCCCUUUUCUCGAUGGAAACAAUUUGUAUUUUAAUUUUAUUCCAUAUGUCAACUAAUUAACGCCUUAUUUGCCAUGCAUGGCGUUGUCAGUAUUUUUUAAGUUUUUUUUUUCGACUUGUUAGUCAUGAGUGUCCCCUUGGUGUCUGCAGCCUCUGUUUUGAAAGAUUGACCCGACCCGACGGACUACGCCAUCAAAAAUAAGAAUAUAAAAUAUGAUUGAUCAUUUUAUAUCAAUCAACGAAGAAUCUUGGCUAUUCUUAUGACCAACACUAGGCUUCUUUGUAUGUCAUUCUCUAUAGGAGUAUUAGUACUGAGUUCAAAACGUAUUGUUCCAACUUCUCUUGUAUCCCACAACCCUUUUAAGUAGAUUUUGCGCACUAGUAUUCACAACUUGAGUUCAUAGGCUUACAAGUUAUUAAAGUUUGAAAUUUGUAUUAAGUAUUGUACUUUUAUGGUUAUAGGACCUGAAUAACUUCAGUUUGCGUUCAUGUCAGAAAAAAAACGAGCCGCGUCUGUACGGGCUAUCACAAGACAACCAUUUCUGGUCGUAAGCAUUACUUUCUUUACGUGUAUAGACAUUUUAUUGAUAACUAUUCAUAAUAUUACAAUGGGAUUGAAUUGUAAUAUAGCCUAACGUCCUAUGGUUCCUUUGUUAACAUAUAGUAUUGGAUUGGGUCAAAAUAAUUGUUGUAGAGAAAAACACACUUAUUUCUUUAAAUGCAACUUAUGUUUAUGUACGAAUAAUAUGACCGAAUUCUGUGAUUAUAUAUAUUCGUUCCAAGCCAGGACCAUGUAGACUGAGUAUUGCCAUAUCUAGGCGUUAUUUGGUUAUUUCUGUCAUUUGGUUGCUGUCUCAUUGCCGUUAACAUCAUCUUUUAUUAUAACUCUCAAUUAAAACACAUUUAUGUUAUGCUUGUGACGUGACGACUUUCAAAUUGAUGAAUGUUGCUCGAGUAAACGAUUGCCGAUUUAUCGAAUGAGCAAAAGAAUGGAGAGCUAUAUUUAUUUAACUGGCAAACUUUUAUAUCAAAGAUUCAAAUUACGAAAAGAAAAAAAGGACAAAAACCGACCUACAAUUAUUACAAGCGAAAUGUUAAGUGGUAUUAACACACACCCAGAUUUUUUAAAACAAAUCCCCAUCAUUCCUCGAAAAAAAAAUGAUAAUAAAAAAUCUAAUUAAAAAAUAUAAAUAUAAAACUUAAAACAAAAGACACGUUGUUAAUUGUAACAACCAGCUAACGUAUCAAAACUGAAAUAAAAUAGAGAAUGGAAACAGGGAAUGUGU